rnacentral:ncRNA from 10 species
AACGUUCAUCCCUUUAGGGACGGAAGUAGACUAAUGUCGAAGGAACGCAUG